UACCAGCACCCCGAGUGGUCGGGACGAUUAUUGGGCCUAAAGCAUCCGUAGCCGGUCCUACAAGUCUUCCGUUAAAUCCACCUGCUUAACAGAUGGGCUGCGGAAGAUACUAUAGGGCUAGGAGGCGGGAGAGGCAAGCGGUACUCAGUGGGUAGGGGUAAAAUCCUCUGAUCCAUUGAAGACCACCAGUGGCGAAGGCAGCUUGCCAGAACGCGCUCGACGGUGAGGGAUGAAAGCUGGGGGAGCAAACCGG
rnacentral:rRNA from 1 species